rnacentral:misc_RNA from 1 species
GAUGAAGAACGUAGCAAAAUGCGAUACUUGGUGUGAAUUGCAGAAUCCCGUGAACCAUCGAGUUUUUGAACGCAGGUUGCGCCCGAAGCCUUUUGGCCGAGGGCACGUCUGCCUGGGCGUCACGCAUCGCGUCGCCCCCCACAAUUCUCCGUAAAGGGAACGUGUGUUUUGGGGGCGGAUAUUGGUCUCCCGUGCUCAUGGCGUGGUUGGCCGAAAUAGGAGUCCUUUCGAUGGACGCACGAACUAGUGGUGGUCGUAAAAACCCUCGUCUUUUGUUUCGUGCUGUUGCUCGCAAGGUAAACUCUUUAAAAACCCCAAUGUGUCGUCUCUUGACGACGCUUCGACCGCGACCCCAGGUCAGGCGGGACUACCCGCUGAGUUUAAGCAUAUCAAUAAGCGGAGGA